ACACACAAACACACACACUAACACAAACACACACAUACAUACACUAACACACACAUACACUAACACACAAACACAUACACUAACACACACAAACACACACAAACACACACAAACACUAACACACAAACACACACACACACACACACAUCCACUAACACUAACACACAAACACAUACAAACACACAUUUUUUAAAAAAAAAUGUAAUCCCCCCAGCCUCCUUACCUUUUG